UACGAGAGGCCCAAACGUUAUUCGGAUUUACUGGGCUUAAAGAGUUCGUAGGCGGUCUAGCAAGUGAGGUGUGAAAUCCCUUGGCUCAACCAAGGAAUUGCGCUUCAAACUGCUAGGCUCGAGGGAGAUAGAGGUGAGCAGAACUGAUGGUGGAGCGGUGAAAUGCGUUGAUAUCAUCAGGAAUACCAGAGGCGAAGGCGGCUCACUGGGUCUCUUCUGACGCUGAGGAACGAAAGCUAGGGGAGCAAACGGG
rnacentral:rRNA from 1 species